AGGACGAAACGCUGGCGGCGUGCUUAACACAUGCAAGUCGAGCGGAAAGGCCCUUCGGGGUACUCGAGCGGCGAACGGGUGAGUAACACGUGAGCAACCUGCCCUUAGCUUCGGGAUAGCUCCGGGAAACCGGAAUUAAAUACCGAAUAUGAUUUUUGCUGACAUCAGCAGAAGUGGAAAGUUUUUCGGCUAGGGAUGGACUCGCGGCCUAUCAGCUAGUUGGUGAGGUAACGCCCACCAAGGCGACGACGGGGUA
rnacentral:rRNA from 1 species